rnacentral:tRNA from 1 species
AGCUUAAUAGUUUAAUAAAACAUAAAUUUUGUAAAUUUAAAUUAAAUAUAAUCAUUUUUAAGCUU